UGUGAUAGUAAAGAGGAUCUUAACACAUUCAGUCUCAUAAGUUCUAGUUCAAUACUUUAAUAGUUCAAUGACUUAUUGUUGAAUAACGUUUUUUGACUUUGUUCAAUGACUUAUUGUUGAAUAACGUUUUUUGACUUUGUUCAAUGACUUAUUGUUGAAUAACGUUUUUUGACUUUGUUCAAUGACUUAUUGUUGAAUAACGUUUUUUGACUUUGUUCAAUUGUUAUUUAGAUCCAUACAAAGAGACACACUCGUCUUGAAGUCGAGCGAAUGGGAAAGCACGUCUACAUUCACUACAACAAGCGAUUGAAUGAACGACAAUUGCAACGCAAACUAGAUUGUAAAGACAGACUCCAUAGCAGCGGAAGACAUAAACUAUAACUCUAAAUGGAUAACUGGCGAGGAAGGACUCGCCAAUGAGUGGGUUUAUGGUGAUGACAGUCUUACUUGGGUAGCCCUUGAAGACGCAAUGGGCGUCAAUGAAACAGAUGGUUCAACUACUAGACAAUAUAUUAGAGGAGUCGAAAACAAAGGGAGAGUUGGAUAUGAGAUCAAUGCUCAUCCCUCUUCUAAUUAUGCAAUCAUACGUAGCAUAUUUGUUUUAGGAAUGCUAGAAGUCCAAAUUCCUUUGGCAUAGGGCCUUCUUGCCUCUUUAGUUUGAUAGUCUUUUGAAUAUUAGCAAGCAACCAUUUUGAUCCACUCCCAAUCCAUUCUAAAUCACCAUUUGCAUUUUAUUGCCUACAUUGUGUGGAUACCUCUUGUUGUUUCAUCAUGUUUCUCCAAGAUGAUGAGUUGUUAUAUCUGUUGUAGCCAUCGUUUAACCACACUCUACUACCGUCCACAGUCCAUCCAUAGUCUUCCAAUUCUCUCUAUGAUUGCCAAUGUUUGGGUGGGUUCAAAGUCCAUCAUUAAUCCAAGUCUGCCUUCAUCAAUGAGAUAUAUCAUAUUAUCUCAUACUAUCUCCCUUUGAUUACCCCACAAAUCGAAUGAAGAGGAUUGUGCACUUUGGGCGAAAACUGCUCUGGAACACAUAGCCCAGCUUUUCGAGAAAUACCCAUGAGAGACAAACUGCAGUCGACCACUAUACGAAAGUGCUCUUUUAUCCCAUCUCGAUAUUAGAUCAUCGAGAUCCACAAUGAUGUGUUGGCAAUCCUUGUGUGAUAUGGAUUUGUCCGUAAUUGGUGCCCCCGAGUGUUGAAAAAAGUGGCAGUUGGUUCAAUUGGAAUCCCAAUAUGUUCGUAAGCUCUUCGACUCUUUUGGAGAAUACCACAUAACUAAAUCUAAAAUUAAAAAUUUGGUGAAGUCAUCAAGUAUGUACCUGGUUAUACCGACGUUCGCGCAAAGAAUAUGACAUCGUCAGCAAAGGUGAGGAAUGACAACACUUUUGUCCCCCUAUAUCAUAGAGCUCGAUGUCCCCCCGUAUCCAAAUAAGCAUUUGUCAGCCUUGCAAAAUAUUCCAAUACUAGUAUAAACUGGAUGUCUUGUCUUACCUCUCUGGUCGUUUGGAAUAUCUCCGUCGGUGAGCCUUUGAUAAGUGAAACGAAAGACAAUGAUUUGAGGUUUUCUUAGAUGAGUUCCUUGAAAAUUGAAUUGAACCCAAAUAAUUCCAGCAUGGAGUCCACCGUCUUCCAUCUCAACCUAUCGAAGGCUUUACGAAAGUCCACCGAUAUGCAACAUCGUCUUAAUAUAGCUUUGUUAUUGUAGCCAUGGUACCAACACGUAGGAAGGAAGGUCUCAUCGGUAAUAAUUUAGUAAAGUAAACACAAUAAUAAACAAAAAUACCUUCUUAAUAUAAAAAAGUAUUCUUAAUAAAAAUAAACAAAUAAUAAAGUAUUUGUCUUAGACUCUCAGUUGCAUAACU
rnacentral:lncRNA from 1 species